CUGCAGAUGAUCCAGUUUUGAAUAAACUACGCGAGGUAGUUUACCAAGGAUGGCCAGCCACGAGAGAACAGUGCCCUCAAUUGCUCCACGAUUAUUGGAACUUUAGAGAAGAACUUACAAUUGAGGAUGGCCUCAUCCUAAAGCAGGAGCGCAUAGUUAUGCCGCCAAAUCUUAGAGAAGAAGUCCUUACAACGAUACAUGAAGGGCAUCUAGGACAAGAGAAAUGUCUGCUCCGAGCGAGAUCUGCGGUGUUUUGGCCUGGAAUUACGAAGGACAUAAUCAAAGUUGUUGAAAGUUGUGAUGCAUGUCAGAAGCAUCAACGUAAGCAGCAAAAACAGGAUCUACUUCAACCUGAACCACCUUGUUACCCUUGGCAGAUACUCAACUCCGAUCUGUUUGAGUAUAAGGGUAAUUCAUAUCUGUUGUUAUCAGAUGAGUAUAGCAAAUUUCCCAUCGUCCGAAAGCUCACUAGCACUACAUCCCAUGCGAUCAUUAAUCACCUCAAGAGCAUCUUCGCAGAAUAUGGCAUUCCAGACAAGCUCGUGUCUGACAAUGGACCGCAAUAUGUAUCCCGCGAAUUUCAACAAUUUGCCAGUGUUUAUGGAUUUGAGCAUACCACAAGUUCACCUAUGUACCCACAAUCCAAUGGUUCCUCAGAACGUAUGGUUCAAACCGUGAAAGGUAUCCUAAAAAAAUGUGAUGAAGAUGGAACCGAUCCUUACUUAGGACUACUUUCUUAUCGUAGUUCGCCAGUCAGUCACCGGUUGAAAUCUCCAUCAGAAUUGCUGAACAGCCGCAAGUUAAGGACAACGUUACCGAUGGCGAAGCGGGCUCGUGUGAGUAAUGACACCAGCAUCACCAAGAAUGAGUUGCACCGGCGACAGGGGCAACAAGCAUUAUACUAUAACCGCACAGCUGGACCAAUCCUAAAGCCAUUCAACGAAGGUGAACCCGUUAACAUCUACGACCACCAUAGUAAGACCUGGGAACCCGGAACAAUCAUCAAACCCGCCAAAGAACCUAGAUCUUACAUCGUCAAGAAUAACAGAACAGAAUCCAUCUACCGCCGCACUAGAACGCAGUUAAGACCGAACAGUAUUCAGAAACAACAGGUGAAGCCACAGUCCAUGCAAUUUUUAAGACCAGUCGCACCUUUUCGGCCGAGCUGUAACCGGAAGCAAGAAACCGAACCACCCAUGAUAGUAUCUCGAGAAGAAAGUGCACCACCUGAAGAUCAGUUAUGUAGGUUGCAGCCAUACUGUGUAACUAGGUCAGGACGGAUCUCUAAACCACCAGAAAGACUGAACAUUUCGUAGAUGCAGAUCUAUUAGCAGGGACUGAACAUUAAAUUAAUUUCUUGUAGAUAAGCAUUUUCUUGUAGUUUACUGACAAUAUAUACAUUACGUUAUUUUUCUGUAGGUAGACAUUAUUCCGAGACAUUAUUCCAAUUAUUUAAAGUAAUUUUUAAUUAGAAAAAAACUUUAAAAAAAAAAGAAAGAAAGGGGGAUGUCACACUUCCGGUUAUAUUAACUUCCUGUACGUAAUACUAGAUCCAGUCUCCUACUGUUAUAUAAACACGCGUACUCACCAUAGCCGCCAUAUUGUAACAUAUUUUCAAUAAAGCUAGUUUCAAAUAAAACGUGCAAGUUUACA
rnacentral:lncRNA from 1 species